GGUUGGCGUUGAGGAGGGAGAGACAGAAACACCGGGAGGUGAUUUAGGAGGAGGAGGUAUGUCAAUACACACAGGGAAGUCAGGGGAGCGCUUGUUUUGUUGUGGCCAGAGAAAGAACAACACACUCAUGUACUUAGUGAGGGCAAAUAUGUAAAUACACCAGCCGGGGUCGAGUUUCAGCGUAACUGGAGAGUCUGACGGCUCGUCAUUUCACUUCGCUGGAAUAUUCGUCUUUGAGGAAACUCGAAAUGAAACUCGGCCGUCACAAAAAGAGAUUUAAAAUGAAAAAAAUGAGAGUCUCAGUUUCUUCUUGAGAACUUAGAGACUCACCAGAGUGAAAUCAGAGACGUGGAUCAUCCUGAAACUGAAGAGAGUCGUUCACUACAAGGUAAAGUCCAAAUCGAACCAACGAACGAAAACAAGCAACGAGAGCUGGAAAAUAAAAAAACAAAACUGCAGUUCCUCAAGUGUCCACUAGAGGCUGUCUCCAAUCAUGAGUUGACCCCCAUAGAGUCUCAUCUUAAAGGGAUAUUCCAGUGUAAAAUUAAUUUAGGGUCAAACCCACCGUAACACCGAGUUAGACCCCCCCUCCAGAGAUGAAUGUUGUCGACCGCUUGCUUCUCUAGUUAUACCAACUUUAGUAACGACCGCAGGAUAGAAAUACAGAGAGCCACGCCCCCAACCAAAACGCCACUCUAUAGCCACAAAUAAUGCUCAGAACAGCACCUAACUUAGCGAAGAGACUAAACACAACUCACCUACUCUCUUCCAGCAGCCGUUUGUUUGUAGUGAGACCUCAGGCCAGUCCAUUACAGACUACAGCGGGGUGCCGCAGCUCAAGGAAGAACAUUUAUGAUCAUUUCUUCAUCAUUUCCUUGAAGUAAUAAUCACCAUAUUAAUCAUUUUACAGACGCUGUAGUUCUUCUGUCUUAGCGUCUCGGUCUGAUUGUAUUUCCAUGAAGAUUGAUAUCCUAGACGACAGGAGGAGGUUACAAUAGCUCCCUUUAAAUUGUAUUAGCCCCGCCCCCUAAUGACACGCCCCUUUAAUCCUUGAUAACAAGUCCAGCCUUUACAGUCAUUAAAGCAGAAAUGAGCUACAGAGCCCCAGAACUGUGUUUGUACCAGACUUUAGUUUAACAUGGAGCUCUAUGGGGACUGACUCACCACAGGAGACGGCCCCCAGUGGACAUUCAGGGAACUGCAGCUUUGGCUUCACUUUGAAUCGCAGCUGAUUGAAGGUUUGGGUUUAAAAGCGAAGAGAAAAUAAUAAACAACCUGUCCAUCAGGAAGCCCUCCACCUUGCAGUGCAUGCUGGGAUUGAUUGUUUGCGCGCUGUUUGUUUAAAUGUUAACAGUAAUAAGAGAAACACAAACACACACAGCAUCAGACAGCCGGGAUCCUGGAGGGAGUGUUUCUUUUGUUUUUGUUUACUAAAGAGAAAACACAAGUGCAGAACUCAGGGCAGGGAAGUAUGAAAAUACACACAAUACACAACACACACACACCGACACACACGCACACACACAACGACACACUCAUACAAAAUCACACACACGCACAAAGAAUGACUGUUUUGUUGUCCUGAGAGAAAAACACAGUAUAAACAAAACCAAACAGAGAGAAACUGACAGUGUUCUCACACACACACACACACACACACACACACACACACACACACACACACACACACACACACACACACACACACACAGGCGGAGUGAAGAACAAUAGCUCUGAUUAAUUUCUCAGAUUUCGUGACCGCGGCGUCGGAGGCGUCAGAGUGAAAAAAAGAAACGUUGCUGUUGUGAAACAAACACGGCGGCGCCGGCCAGCGAAACAAACACACCCUGACUGUGAGACGGCGAGAGGUCAGAGGUCACCGGAGGAGACGACGGAGAGAUGGAGGGAGACGGAGAGGGAGGAAGAUGAGGGAGGAGAGGAUGGAGGGAAGGAGAGAAGGAGAGGGAAGGAAGGAGGGAAGGAAGGAAGGCAGGAAAGAAAGAAGGAAGGUAGAAAGGAAGUAAAAUGACAGAGGAGAGGAUGAAGGGAAGAAGAAAAGGCAAAGGAAGGAAGAAAGGAAGGAUGGAAGAUGAGAGAGGAGAGGAUGGAGAGAAGGAAGGAAGGAAGGAUGGAUGAUGAGAGAGGAGAGGAUGGAGGAGGAGAGAAAAUCCAAAGGAAGGAAGGAAGGAAGGAAGGAGGAAAAUGAGAGAGGAGAGGAUGGAGGGAAGAAGAAAAGGUAAAGGAAGGAAAGAAGGAAGGAAGGAAGGAAUGAGAAGGAAAGGAUGAAGGAAGGAAGGAAGGAAGGAAGGAAAAUGAGACAGGUGAGGAUGGAGGAAAGAAGAGAAGGAGACAUGAGUAGGAGGACAUGAGGAGACAUGAGUGAAGAUCCACAACAGGAACCUUAAUGGGGGACAGACCUGACAGUCCAGGACUGAAUCCCUCUCUCUGAUUGGUUCCUGCACUGAUUCAAAUGUCACUAAUUCUUCAGCUCAGACAGCGGCGCCGUUAAACGUCCUCCAGCCAACAGGGGGCGCUGUGACUAGGAUCAAGAAUAACUGUUCCAAAAACAAGGAUUCUGGACUUCCUGUUGACGUUUCUCUGUGACUUUUAGAGAGUUUUUAAAAAGUUUUGUUAAGAUGUUUAAGAGCAGCAAAAGUCGUUUCCAGAGGGGCGGAGCUUUUGCUGAGGGGGGCGGGGCUUUAGUGAGUCAGUUCUCUCAACUUUUUUCACCAGAUUGGAUUUUUGAGGAAAGUUUAAUGACUUUUUGGCCACUUUUUAAAAAAAAAGUAUGAUUAGAAUAAAAUGAACAACUCUUUACAAGACACACACACACACACACACACACACACACUCACUCUCACACACACACACACACACACACACACACACACACACACACACACAGCUGCAGUGUCGUGGUCUGUCUCCCUGCCAACUAUGUGUGCAGUCUCUCUGUCAGGACAUACCUGAGACUGAUAAAGACUCAGUGUGUGAGUGUGUGUAAGUCAGUGUGUGUGUG